AGAGGAAGUAAAAGUCGUAAUUUUGGUUUCCGUAGGUGAACCUGCGGAAGGAUCAUUAUCGUAGGGCUUCGGCCCUGUCGAGAUAGAACCCUUGCCUUUUUGAGUACCUUUCGUUUCCUCGGCAGGCUCGCCUGCCAAUGGGGACCACAAGAAACACUUUGCAGUACCUGUAAUAGUCUGAACAAACAAACAAAAAUUAAAACUUUCAACAACGGAUCUCUUGGUUCUGGCAUCGAUGAAGAACGCAGCGAAAUGCGAUAAGUAGUGUGAAUUGCAGAAUUCAGUGAAUCAUCGAAUCUUUGAACGCACAUUGCGCCCUUUGGUAUUCCUUAGGGCAUGCCUGUUCGAGCGUCAUUUAAACCUUCAAGCUAAGCUUGGUGUUGGGUGACUGUCCGCUUCACUGCGGACUCGCCUCAAAAUUAUUGGCGGCCGGUACAUUGGCUUCGAGCGCAGCAGAAACGCGAACUCGGGCCCGUCGUAUUGGCUCCCAGAAGCUAUCUUCACAAUUUUGACCUCGGAUCAGGUAGGGAUACCCGCUGAACUUAAGCAUAUCA
rnacentral:rRNA from 1 species